rnacentral:rRNA from 1 species
CAUUAUCAUACAAAUAAGAGGUGUCGGGGCUGUCGCUGACCCUUUUAAUCAAGGGGUCGUGCACGCCCUAAGCAUCCUCACACAAUCCACCUUACCUUUGUGCAUCAUCGCGUGAGGCUCCCCUAAAAGGGGGCCUGCGUUUUUCACACAGACGCCACAGUAUAGAAUGUUUUGUUUUGCAGUCACAUGCGAUCAAUAUAACUUUCAACAACGGAUCUCUUGGCUCUCGCAUCGAUGAAGAACGCAGCGAAAUGUGAUACGUAAUGUGAAUUGCAGAAUUCAGUGAAUCAUCGAAUCUUUGAACGCAUCUUGCGCCCCUUGGCAUUCCGAGGGGCACACCCGUUUGAGCGUCGUGAAACUCUCAACCCUUCUCCCUUUCUUGUUGAACCGGGAGGAUGGCUUGGACUUUGGAGGCUUCUGCUGGUCUCCUAGAACCGGCUCCUCUUAAAGGAAUUAGCGGGGUCUCAUUUGCCGAUCCUUGACGUGAUAAUAUUUGACGUCUUUUCGAGAGGCAGAGACCUUGCUUCCAAUGGUCUCAUUCAGGGACACCAGUGAGACCCACUAAACCCCUAUUGACCUCAAAUCGGGUGAGACUACCCGCUGAACUUAAGCAUAUCAAUAAGCGGAGGAAAAGAAACUAACAA